AUUUCUUGAGGCCUCCCCAGCCAUGCAAAACUCCUUCUGAGUAGCUGGGACUACAGGCUUUAGAACUGGCGGCUUUAUAAGAAGAGAAAGAGAGAUCUGAGCUAGCACACUCAACCCCCUUGCUCUGUGAUGCCCUGUGCCAUCUCGGGACUCUGCAGAGGGUCCCCACCAGCAAGAAGGCCUUCACCAGAGCGGCCCCUUAACCUUGGACUUCCCAGCCUCCAUAACUGUCUGACUGGAUCCAGAAGUUCCAGUGAAGCCGAUUUCUAUCUCUAGUCUUUGUGAUCCUUUCCUCUCCAGCAAGGCUUUUCCUUGCCAUGACAAGACACCUGGCAGCAUCUCCAGGCUUACUCAACCAGUACCCUUGAUGGGAAAAGGGCUUUUCUUUCUUAAUUUUCCAGCAAAAGCCUCAAGAUUGACUCUGGAGUAAAUUGCACAUGGCCUCAAAUUCUUUGCAGCUCCUUCCACUAUGAGGUGGCAUGUAUUACUCCAAUCCCUGCAUCUGGGCUGGAUUUGUGACUUGUUUUGAACAAUAGAAUGUGGUAAAAGUGACAGUGAAAAUAUAUGAGUUUCAAGCCUAAGACAACAUGCUUUUCAGCCUUUGCUCUGGAUUUCUUUGAAUGCUGCUGUCACAUAAACAAGACUGAAAUAGCCUACUAGAGGAUGGGAAAUUACAUGGAGCAGAGACAAGCAGUCCCAGGUGUGGAACCCCUAGACCAGCCAGCUUACCAACCACCAGACAUGAGAGUGAGACCAUCCUAGAUCACUCAGCUCCAGCCAAGCCACCAAGAGACCACACAGAUCAGCUGAAUUGGCCUAGGCCAGACGAACCACUCUGCCAACCCACAGAAUUACUAAAAAUAAUAAAUAUUUGUUAGUGAAGACUUCAAGUUUGGGGAUGUUUGUUAUGCAGCAGAAGCUAACUGAUACUCUCUUAUUGGGUCAGCUUGGAUCACUUUCCCACUCUGAAACACACAGUGAGCAGAGGGGUAGUGGACAGGCCUAGGCCAUGUGUUUUUUCCUGGAGUUGGCCAUUGGGGCCAGAUCAAUGAACUGAGAACUGGGGAGGUGUGGAGAAAAAUCAGGGUGCUGUCACCAGAAAAAG
rnacentral:lncRNA from 1 species